rnacentral:rRNA from 1 species
UUUAAAGUCUGACCUGCCCAAUGAAUUUUAAAUGGCCGCAGUAUUUUGACUGUGCAAAGGUAGCAUAAUCAUUAGUUUUUUAAAUGGAAGCUGGAAUGAAGGGUUUGAUGAAAAAAUAACUGUCUCAUAUUAAUAUAUAUAUAAUUUUAUUUUUAAGUUAAAAAGCUUAAAUUUUUUAAAAAGACGAGAAGACCCUAUAGAGUUUUAUAAUUUAUUUAUUUAAUGUUUUUAGUAUUUAAAUAUUUUAUUUAUAUAAAUUAUUUUAUUGGGGUGAUAAUAAAAUUUAAUAAACUUUUAAUUUUUUAAACCAUUAAUAUAUGAUUAAUUGAUCCUAUUUUUAGAUUAUAAGAAAAAAUUACCUUAGGGAUAACAGCGUAAUUUUUUUUUAGAGUUCUAAUCGAAAAAAAAGAUUGCGACCUCGAUGUUGGAUUAAAAUAUAAAUUUGGUGUAGAAGCUAAAUUUUUAGGUCUGUUCGACCUUUAAAAUUUUACA